rnacentral:lncRNA from 1 species
CAGGCUUUACCAAAAAUACCCCAAUUACAACUGAUGUCGCUUGGGGAUGCUGGAACAGGGCUCAGAUUUGCGGUGCUAUAGGUGUCUCCUAAAAUUCUAGGCUCUGAGAUGGAUCUUGACAAUUCGUCCGUUUUGGUCUUAUGAUCGGACUUGGCUAUAACUUGCUUCUCAGCACGACAAGCCAAGGCCUGGAGAUUGACAG